rnacentral:lncRNA from 1 species
UUAAAUUUAUGACAUAAGAAGACAUCUAUAAAUAAUUCUAUUUCAUGCCUUAUUUCAUUGCAUUGCAAUUAUCUCAUAGUAUAAAAUCAUAAUUUUAAGGUCCUUGAAAAUAGGAGAAAAAAUUAUUAGGUGCUUACACAAAUACCAAAUGAAAGCUCCUCAAAUAUUCUAGCAUACAAUAUAUUGUACAAUUCUUUGGUUAGAGCAAGAACUCUUUCAUCUCAACCUGCUACUCAUACAAAAGCCUUUCCGACAUUUACCUUUAUAAUUCUUCCUGUUUGGACAAUCUUUAUCUGUUUUACAAGGACGUGAAAUAGGGUAAUAAAUAGAAUCACAUCCUAUUACGACGAGAAAUAUGGAAAUAAAUAGAAUCAGAACAUAAACAAACUUCAGAGUUUCAGCCAUAUUUUUCACUCUUUGCAUCUAAUGUAGGAUAUGAUUUGAUCUAUUUAUAGUGUAUAAAAUUCAUGCUCUCAUAAUCUCAUAAUCAUUAAAUAGUUUAAACAUUUAUAAAAUUUUAAAAACUCUUCAUAAAAUUAAAAUAAUAGUAAAUGUCUCUUAAGUAUAUCUAUGUGUUGUAUUGGUCCUUGAUCACACUAGGAAAGGAGUUCAAAUCAUAAAAUUGCAAAUGUGAAGAAAAAAGUAAUGAGAAGUUAUAAUUUAAAUAAUAUUCAAUUCUUAUCAUAAUCAAUUUUAUAAUUUGAAGCAAGAGCCAACACAGCAAAUUGAUAUCUUUAAGAGGUGUUGAUGGUUGGAUUAGGCAAGUGUGACAAAUCGUUCACUAAGUAAUACAAUGAUAAGUAGAGUAUCGUAUCCACAUAAGUUGUCGUUUCAUACAAACAAUUCGUGUUACUUAUUUUAGAACAAAAUAAUAAAUAAAAGAGAUAAGGGUUUAGAGAUUAGUAAUUUUUAUAUGUUUGCAACACAACAAGUUACCUGUUUUGAUUACAAAAUGUUAAAGUCGAUUAGGAUUCUUUGAAUCCCCUCUAUUUAUUUGUUGGAUUUACGUAACAGUCAAGUCUUAUUCGAGGUAAUUCAUAUAAGGACUAUUUAAUGAGUUCGUGGGACAUGAUAACCUAAUCAGUUUGUUAAGUUGCACCUGCUGGUCGCACGGUGAUACUUAUGUGCAAGGUUUAUACUAUCUUGGUCGAUUAAGGUCUAUACCUCCGCCUGUUGAGUUGUACGUGUUGAUCACACGAUCAUCUUUACGUGUGCGGUUUAUCUCACUCAAGGGUAAUUGAAACAUAAACAAAUGGUAGAUUUCCUAGAAUUCCAAAGGUAUGAUGGCCAGUGUUCCUGAAGGUUCUCUCAUUUAUGGAUCUUAGAAGUUCAUAACACACACACACACUCUCUCUCUCUCUCUCUCUCUCUCUCUCUCUCUCUCUCUCUCUCUCUCCCUCCCUUAGUAGUUCUAGAAACAGGAAGCCCUAUCAGUGUAUACCUUACCAAGGAAAGAGAGCGGAGUUAUUGGGCUGAUUUAAGUCGUGAAGUCAUAGUUUCCUUAAUUACUAACUACUUACUACUUGAUUUCAACAGAUGUUCAUCAAUAUUAGGUAUGUCACAUCCCAAAGUACUUACUAUUAGGUAGAGCUGUCAAAAUGGGCCGGGCCGUAAGGGCCGGCCCGAAAGCCCGAAUAAAAUGUAGGGCUUGGGCCGAAUAAUUGGAGCCCGAAAUUGAAGAGGGCUUUUUAGCCCGGCCCGUAAAAGCCCUUGGCCCGUUAGGGCUAGCCCGUCCUGGCUCCGGGCUGCCCGGAAGCCCGCAAAAAGUACAACUGUUUUUUUUUUUUUUUUUGUGGUCUGUGUGUGUGAGAGACUGAUACGGGCUCGGGCUGGCCCGUUAGCCCGGCAUAUUUAUGUAUGUUCCGUACUUAAAAGAAUGGAAAAGGGAAGAAAAAAAUACAGGCCAGGGCCGGCCCGUUAGCCCGGGAGCCCGUAUAGGGCCGGGCUCGGGCUCAUUUUUUGCAGCCCAUAUUCAAACCGGGCUUUUUAGCCCGGCCCUUAAAAGCCCUUGGCCCGGCCGGGCCGCCCGUUUUGACAGCUCUACUAUUAGGGUACGCUCGCUUUUGGUUUGUUUCACUAGUUAAUAAUUAAUUACUUUCUGGUUAGUCAUAUAUAAAUAUCAAUAUUAGUCCAUGUCACUACAUAAGUGCCUAAAUCAGGGUUAUACUUUAGAGGAGACAAAUCUUACACACGACAAUAAAACUCAAUAGCAAACAUAAAAUAACUGAAUAAAGGCAUUAAAUUAUAUGAAUAUCCAACAAAUAGAAAUAGAGGUUCAUCUUAGAAUCAUAACCUAAAAAUAUUUAUUUAGUGAUGCAGGAGGAGGGUUUUUUAGUAAUUUAGUAGUAUUUAUUAUUUCAGCCUAAUUUAAUUAUUUGUUUGUUUUAUUUUCAGUUUGUUGUUUUUAAGACCAUUAUGGUUUGUUAUCUCCCUAUUUAAGCUUAACAGAUGUAGCCCAUAUAACUUUUAUUCAAUAAUAUUUUAGAGAGUUUUCCUCAAUUGGUGGAUUCUUGAACCUUAUUUUCACAAGUUUGUCGUUUGCAAACUUGUUUCUUUUCAAUCAAGGUUUAGUGUUUGCUAACAUACGCUUCCGUACUACGUCAGUUGGUAUCGGAGCAGGUAUCUCCUGUUCUUUUACGAUGGUAGAAUUUCACGAUUUAAUUGCGGCGGACAAAGCUCUUGCAGAUGAGAUGGCGGCAUUAUCCACAACAAUGACGGCUCGAACGGAGACGUUGACGACGUUGACAAUUGAGAUCGACAAAAUCAACAACAACAACAACAUAAACAAUCAGAACAGAGAUGUGGACCAAUUAGGCUUCCACGUGGUAGAAACAAUCAAAUUAUUGACUCUACUAUAUUGUCCAUUGAUUCAUUGUUGUUUGAUAGGGACAACACGACGAAAUCACAGGUGAAUGACAUAACUGCCCAUGACCAGAACAACAAGAUUAAUAGCUCUACGGAUAGUAAUCCUUCUAUCGACGAAAAUGCAUGCAUUUGUAGAAAACAAAAUAAUAUGCAUUGGACUUCAAACAUAGGAGUGAAUAAAAAACUACGAGCCACUAAAAAAGAUAAGUCUCAUAAUAAGAAAGGAUCAGAAGAAUAUGGUGAUGGCCAAACAGCUAUACCUUCUCUUUCAAUUUCCACUACAUAGCGCCUUACCAUUGGAUUUUUUUGAUAAUGAUCAAGGUUCUCUAAAUGAAAAUCCUCUCAUGACGUUUAACUUUAGCGAGUAUCGACCGCCGUCGGAACCACCUGAUGUCACACUCGAAUGUCGUCACUAAAUCGGACUUUGUCGGUUACUACCAGAGGUAUCACAACAAUUCAAUAUCUAUAUGUGUUUUAAUAAUAAUGCAGGGGGCAGAGGAUAUGUGCUUGUUUCUAAAGCUGUUAGUAAUGAAAUCCCUUCACUACUAUCUUUCAUGAAGAGAAAAAAAAAAACCAUAACCGAAAAACGAUGAGAAUAAAAAUAAUUUUUUAAAAAAUGGCUUUGUAAUGGAUUUGGCAAUUAGACCCAGGCCCGAUGGGUAUCCGCAAAAAUUAACCGCAAUGGAUAGGGUAAAUCCCCGCUUUCAUAUAUGGGUAUGAGCAUGGGUCCAGGUAAUUGCCCGCAAACUUAAAAGGGUACGGAUACGGGUAUGGGCAUUAUACUACCCAUCCCCGCAACCCGCACAUAUGUAUUUAUAUAAUAUAAUAAAUAAUUUAUAUAUUAAUUAAUUAAUUUACCUAACUAUUUAAUCUUAAACCUAAACCUAAAAAUUGCUUAUUAUGGUAACCUAAACCUAGUCUUCUGCUGCAUUGAAUCUCUUCCGUAUGCCUGCAUUUCGUUGCUUUUUGUUAUCCAUCUCUUCUGCUUCUAGGUAACUAUUUCUUGAAUCUUAUACUUCUAAAGGAAUGACAAUUGGAUCCAAGUCCGAUGGGUACCGGCAAAAUACUACGAUGCAUAUUGUUUUUUAUUUGGCUAAAUACUACGAUUGAUAUUAUUUUAUGAGUUGAUUUGAAAUUUUUUGGAUCAUAAUUUUAUUUCAAUUGCGGGUUUUUUUUUAUUGUCUUUUCAUAGUUAAAAUGCGGGUAAUGGGUGCGGGUAUGGGCACUUAGGUGCCCAUAGGGUAUGGGGAAGGGCACUAAAGUUGUUGCCCACGAUGGUACGGGUCCGGGUACGAGUAUUUUUUACAAACGCGGGUAUGGGGAUGGGUACCAUAGUACCCUUCCCAUUGGGUACCCAUUGUCAUCCCUUUUGUGUUGAUGAAAAUAAAAUGAAUGUGAAAUAAAAGUAAAUAAGAUAGAAGAGUUGCUACAAAAAAUAUAAAAUGACAAAAGAGCAAGUUGUGGAACAAAGAUAAAUUACUACUACUUAUUAUAUUAUUGUCUAACCUAUCCUAUAUUAUGAUGAAAAAUUUGAAAUGCCCCUUAUAUAUUUAUCCCAAAAUAGUGUCAUUCUAAGCCAAUGAUCUUAACUCUAGAAGACAAAAUUAUUAUCUUCCUUUAAUAAAAUAGUACACUUUGCAUCAGUUCUUAUUUUGUAAUCCUUGAAUCACUUUAUACUACUAUCUCAUAAUAUCUCUUUAUCGUAUAUGGUCAACUUGUACUUAAUGAAACAAAUUGCAUGUUGUUACUAAUUGUCAAAUUAUAUUGAGUAAACAAAUUACAUUCUGUCAACUUUGUUAUUAACAACCCUUCUAUAUAACAUCAACUAUUCUCUACUCAUAUCUACAACGAAAUCCUUUUCUUGGUUUAGUUUUUAGUACCAAGUGUUAGAGGUGAAGCUAGGCCAAGAACAUUUUGUGUUUGGUAAAUUCUCUUGUUCACAAUGGGAACAACUCUUAGCUUACCACUGCAUGUGGUGAUUCCCCUCCCUAUGAAAUUGAUUAUCCAACUCAUUGUCCAACCGGUCGAUUCUCUAAUGGCUGCAACAUUAAUUCCCGGCCUAUCAACUAAGUUUUCAUAUUAAUAUUUUGGUUUAGAUGCACUUGUGUUCGUCUAAUUUUUAGUUAUUCACAAGUUUAGUCUCCAAUUUCUAAAUCUUGAAAUAUUAUUCCUCAAUUUUAAAAUUUUCAUAAGAAACUUUUAACACUAAGUUUAAAGCUUAUUUUUGCUGUAUCAAGUUGAAUAAUGCAGUGAAAAAUUACAAAUCAGGGUGAUAAAAUGCAUACUUUUUUGAAAGUUUUUGAUGACUUGAAAAAAUAAAACAAAAUUUGGUCCCCCGUACUUAUUGCUACGGCACUAUAUUACUUCUUAAGUCAUUAUUCAAUUUGACGCAUCACUAAAAUUAAAACUUCUUGGCAUAGUGAUGAUAACCGCAAAAAUGUUGGUUAUUACUUUUGAUUUAUACCCAUAAUUUAAUAAUGAGCGGGCACGACGCUCUUUCCCCACGAAUUUGUACGACCAGCACAAACUACACCCAAUUUGCUCUUUUUUUAGGCUUGCAUAACUGUCAGCAUAAAUAAAACAACAAACUAAACGGUAAAACAAAAAGUAAGUAUAGUCUAAACAUUGUUGCUAUAAUCAUUGUCACCAUGGGUGUUACUACAGUCCAAAGAAAUGUGUUUUCCAAUGGGUAAAAAUUAAAGUGUAAAGCAGUAAACCAUGGAAGAGUUAUUUAAAUAUAUUAUGUCAUAGAAUUGAUUUGUCGUAAAUGGGGUAGUAGUACACAACAUCACUCGAAGAUACAUGUUUGUGAUUUUUCAUUAAAUAAAAGAAAAAAAUCAUGUCGUGCAACAUGCACGAAAAAGCAUGUCGUGCGUUGUAUCAUUAUCCAUUUGGAUAAUUUAUGCUCAUUAUGGUUGGUUUUAUGGGUUGGUUGUGUGUUUGUUGCAAAGUUGUACAAAGAUGCAGCCCCGGAGGCAUAAACAACAUCGUUGUAAGAUUGCUAGUAUAAGUAGUACGAAUAUAUGAACGUGGGUAUUUUUGAAACAAAAUGAGUUUAACAAUGCCUUUAAGUUUUGAUGAUAACUAGGUAUUAAAAGUUCAAUUGGAUAUGCUAAUAUUUGUUCAAGUGUGCAGGACCAUAGAGUAAAAUUUAUAAGUCUUAAAACAAAGUAUUGGUUCUGAAAGAACAAUUGAGAGCAAAAGAAUUUUCAAGAGAAGCUUAGUUGCAAGUCAGAAUUUGAAAAAGUCAGAGUCUGAAGACUAUUAAGAAGCUGGCUGUCAGAGUCUGAAGUUCACCCAGAGUCUAAAGAUUCAUCAGAAGCUGAAGUGAAGAAUCUAAAGUUAGUUUUUAUGGAUAUUUGAAGACACAAAUGUGCAUAAGUAAUAGAAGACUAGAGCAACGGAUAUUCUGAAGAAUUAGAAGGCUUUAGAUGCUUAUACAAAGAGAAAGAACAGUGAAUGUCAGUGGUGCAAUUGUACAACCACUACCUCCACUACUCCAACAUUUCAUGCGCAUAGUAAAAGUUACAGUUGUGUCUUUAUUGGAAUGAAACGGUUAAUUCCCUAUCAUGGAAUGGUUUUCAAAUUAUUCUCUCCUACGAUAUUAACCAUAUCAAGCAACAAAUCAAUGUUGAUUGAUCAAGCUUCUACAACGACUCUUUGAUAUAAUGGCACCUCUACAACAUCUCUUUCAUAUCUCUAUAUAAAGGAAUGAAGACUUGAAGAUUAGUUGUGACUUGAAGAUUAGUUGUGACUCUACAACAUUUUAACUUGUGCCAAAACUCUGCUGAAAUUAUUGUGCAUCAAAACACUUAGCAUUUCUUAUCAACUUUCAUAUCUUAAAAAUUCUUAAGUCUUAGAGUCUGAACUGUUUUGUACUGUGAACACCACUGAUUGUAUAUCAAGUGUUCAACCAACCUUAUUCUUUGUAAUUUGUUUGUUUAGGAAGUCUGUUGCUUUUGUGCUUGAGCAUAGGAAAUCUCUUGCUUGUGUGCUUCAGUAUUUUAAGUCUCUUGCUUCUGUGCUUGAGAAAUUGUAAUCUUAUGUGAUUAUAGUGAAAAUCUCCUUGGAAGUGCAAGGGGGGCUGGACUACUUCCGAAUUGUGGAAGGAACCAGGAUAAUUGCUUGUUACUCUUUCUCUUUUCAAUCUGUUGCACAAGACUCUGGACUUGGUUUAAAAGAAGAAAAAGUUAACACAAUUCAACCCUCCUCCUCUCACCUUCAGAUACAUCCUUGAUGAGGCAUGGAUAUGAAGUUUGUUGGGUCACCGAUGAUUGUCGGUACAAUGAAAAAUAAGGAAUUUUUUAUUCCAAAUGUAAUAAGGACGAAUGCACAUGGAAAAUUACUAAAGGACAUAAUUUGGAUAGAGACAAGACUUGUAAUAUAAAAGGACGAUGACAAUGUUCUGACAAGUGUCUGAAAUUUGUCAUCUUGUUUAAGCGGCGGUUUCCAACUAGGGUUAGCAGCCACUUAAGAUCUCAGAACCCAUAUUCUACUCAUCAUUCAUUUCAUUGGAGAGCAUGAUAGCUCGCUCUUACUUAGUUGGGGUUUUAGGAACCUUGUGAGUGAGUAAUGCAAAAAAUCUCAUUCUUUUUCAUUGUGUUUUCUUCCAUUUCUUAUCUUAUUUAUAUUUUUGUGUUUGAGCUUACCAUGAGCUAAAACACUUUGUGCUUAAGACACAAUGAGGUUAUGAUUAUGUUUGCAUAAGGUUGAUUAAUUGCGUGCUCAUGCUUCUUUUAAACAAGUUUUAUUAACUCUAAUAUUUAAAGUAAAACUUGAUCACUUUUAUCUUUAUUGUCAAAUUCCUUAAGCUUGACAGAGGAGGGGAACGGAACUACUUGUUUAAUAUGAGAAAUGUUUUAAUGUUAAGAAGAUAUAAAGACCUUGGAAAUGGUAGAGAUCUAACCUUAAUAAUGUUAAUGUUCAAUGUUAACUUGGCUUAUAUACAAGUCUAUGACUAUGAUAAGUUGCUCGAAGUACAAGCAAAGUAACAAACCCUAACAACCAUAAGCUAAAUUCUAGGAAACUUGUAAUCAAAUAACAAACUAAAAACUAAUGUGAUUAACCUACUAAAUAUGAUUACAUCACUAACAAACUUGAAUUGACCAUUAAAACUAACAGGCCAAGAGCGUUUUUUGUAUUUGGGGAUUUUCUUGUCCACCAACUGCUCGAUAAUCUUAUUCCAUUUGCUUCAAAAUGAGCAGAAAACAAAUUUAAUAUAAUAAAAGGAAAACAAACAUAUAUAGUUUGGUUAUGCUUAAUGAUAAUGCAACCUUUUUCUUCAAGGCAUAUUGACUACGGAGUAUGUAAAAUUUCGCAUUUGUGAGUACAAAAAAAUCACUUGCUGGUAAAUCAAUUUUCUUGUAAUUCUUACGUGGAAAAAUAUCUAAAUCAGGUAAAUCAAUUUUUUACAUAUAUGUUUACUAAAAAUAUUAUAUUGAUCAACAAUUUAAAACUUAAUUUUUAUUGAUUUAAAAAAAAUCAGAAGCUAUUGUGUGUUUAUUUUCCAUAAUGAAAAUCAUUUCUUUUAAAAGACAACUAUAAAGAAUUAUUUUGUUUCUUGUUUGGAGCGUAGGUUUCAGACCCAAGUAGUAGUAUGAGGUCUCUUAGCUAUUGUUCUUAAAAAAUGACCAGGUUUUGCCCAUUAUAUUGCGGCAAUUCUCCAAAGAAAUUUUGACUUUUCGUUCUGACGAACGAAUAGUCAUUGAAUCCUCCUCUUUCCAGACAACACAUACAAAGAAAUCCGCCAACCUAAAACAUAAUUAGUAAACUUUUUUUUAGGAAAACAUAAUUAGUGACCUUAUGAUAGAUGUUUAUUUUGAAUAUUUUUUAUUUUUAAAAUUCUGAUUUUCUUAAAAAUCAUCUAUAUUUACCCAAAUAUUAAUUGGUGUCAUAAGAAAUUUUGCCCAUUGCGGUCUCUUAGCUAUUGCGGUUUCAGACUCAAGUAGUAGUAUGAGGUCUCUUAGCUAUUGUUCUUGAAAAAUGACCAGGUUUUGCCCAUUGCGGCAUUGCUCCAAAGAAAUUUUGACUUUUCGUUCUAACGAACGAAUAGUCAUUGAUCGAGUCCGCCUCUUUCUCGACAACACAUACAAAGAAAUCCGCCAACAUAAAACAUAAUUAGUGAACUUUUUUUUAGGGAAACAUAAUUAGUGAACUUAUGAUAGAUGUUUAUAUUGAAUAUUUUUUUUUUCAAAUUCUGAUUUUCUUAAAAAUCAUCUUUAUUUACCUAAAUAUUAAUUGGUGUCAUAAGCAUAAACGUCAAAUAGUAGUUGUUACUAGAAGUUUGAUUGACCCAACAAGGAGAGGGAGGAGAUUCGAAGAAUCCUAAUCGCCAUCAUCAUUCUAAUUUAGCAUUACUUUUUUUACUUUUAUGUUUAACAACAAACAACUCUUUGCAAAUCCCCCCAUUAACUGUUUUUAAUCAAGUUUAGUUUAAUUUUGCAAAAGCAACAAUUCGUGUGGAGAAGAUAACUUACUACUUUAUUAAUUGAUAUGAUUUGAUGCGUUUUCCGAAAUUAUCAUCGUCUAAAAAUUUGAAUGAAUAAAUAUCUAUUUUUUUUAAAAGUAAGCUAGAAAUUAUUUUUCAAUUUAACUAUUAAAGUGAUUUUUUAGAUGGUUGGAUUGAGAGAAAAAAAAAGUUUUAUAUGUUUGGAAUGCACAUCAUGGCAAUACCUUCUAAUUUAUGACAUAAGAAGACAUCUAUAAAUAAUUUUAUUUCAUGACUUAUUUCAUUGCAUUGCAAUUAUCUCAUAGUAUAAAAUCAUAACUUUAAGGUCCUUGAAAAAUAGGAGAAAAAAUUAUUAGGUGCAUACACAAAUACCAAAUGAAAGCUCCUCAAAUAUUCUAGCAUACAAUAUACCGUACAAUGCUUUGGUUAGAGCAAGAACUCUUUCAUCUCACCCUGCUACUUAUACAAAAGCCUUUCCGACAUUUAGCUUUAUAAUGUUUCAUGUUUGGACAAUCUUUAUCAGUUAUACAAGGACGAGAAACAGGGAAAUAAAUAGAAUCACAUACUAUUACAACAUGAAAUAUGGAAAUAAAUAGAAUCAGAACAUAAACAAACUUCAAAGUUUCAGACAUCUUUUUCACUCUUUGCAUCUAAAGUAUGAUAUGAUUUGAUCAAUUUAUAGUGUAUAAAGUUCAUGCUCACAUAAUCAUAAAAUAGUUUAAGCAUUUAUAAAAUUUUAAAAACUCUUCAUAAAAUUAUAAUAAUACUAAAUGCCUCUUAAGUAUUUCUAUGUGUUGCAUUGGUCCUUGUUCACACUAGGAAAGGAGUUCAAAUCAUAAAAUUGAUAAUCAUAAGAAUUACAUUAUCA